UAAAAGAGCUAGGACCAGGAGGACCUGUGGAGGGGAAGCCGGCGGAGGUGGCCCUACCCAACAACUACAACCUUGGUGCUAUGUCUCCACAAAACAGUGAUCUACAGAUGUUAAAAACCUCCAAUGAAGAGGUCACGGAUGAAAUGCUGACAUUCCACGAAGUUGUCAACCAUAUGCAGGAAAUUGAGGAGGAGGUUAUAGAUGACCACAAGUCGAUUAUAGAGAUAACACAGAAAUGGCUAGCUGAGGACAAGAAACUGUACAAGGCGACAGACGAUGUGGACUAUGAUGUUGAAG